rnacentral:lncRNA from 1 species
AAAGGCUUAAUUAGCAUCUUGUCACUGUUAACUAAAUACAAUUGAAUGCAUUUUUAGUACUUAUUUAAUGUAAAAAAAAAAAAACCUUCAGCUUAAAAAAAAUCUGUCAAAUAAGUUUCUUAGAAAUUGUUUUAUAGCCUAUCCACGUAAUAAAUUUCAAGCCUAACACUGGAAGAGAUGUCAGAAGAUUCAGAAAAGGAGGACUAUUCAGACAGAACAGUCAGUGAUGAAGAUGAAUUAGUAUGUUUUUCUCAAAUUUUAUUUUACUUAAUUUGAGAUAAAAUGUUACAAAAUAUAUAUUCCCAAUUAAAAUAUUACAAAAUCAAUUGUAUGUUUAAAUCAUUGUCAUGGAAGAUGGGACAUAAUUCAAUAGAAAAAGUAAGCUAUUACUCUGUGCAGUAUGCCCUAUUUAGAAAGCAAAACUAUAUGUCUUCUUAAGAAAAUAAUUGUGAUUAUUAUCCUGGGUUUUGUUAUCUAUUAAAUCAUUGGGUUUUAUUUUUGUAAUUCUUUUUCCACUUAUUUCCUUUUGUGUACUAAUUCUGUAGUGUUACAUCAUAGAAUAUGGUGCUAGAACCCCGAUAGGUUUAAUGUGUCUAUGAUAUCACAAAAGAAAGAAUAUGGAAGAAGGAAAUGGGAGAGAAAUGUAGUGUUUAAAAACAUUUUGUCUGAUCCUUGUACACAUUUCUGAGAUAUUCCUUUUAACUUUUAUUAUAGUAAAAAAUUAUGUAAAAGUAAGCUCCCCCAAAUAAAGUAUAACCUCUUAGUC